GAGCAGAUGAUGUUACACUGCAAAAUUGAUGCUGAGAUUUUAUGUCAUUGAAGUAUCAAGAAUCGAGCUUUUUAAAACUGAUGCUCU
rfam:Ananas comosus cultivar MD2 ACMD2_Scaffold_5087, whole genome shotgun sequence.